UCCAGGUUAGGAGCAAAGGUCAGGCUGCGGUGUGAUGUUUACAACAGGGACAUUGGUGCAGGGCUGCUCUCCAGAGUACAGAACUCAGACACAAAUUGGGCCAGUGUGUGGAACACAACGGGCAGUGCAGAGAAGGAAAACCUGCAAAGCUAACGGUGCUGAGGAUGAGCCCAGGGCCUCAUGCCUGCCAGACAGUGCUCUGCCCACCCGCAGCCUGUGUGGCUCUCGACUGUAUGGCCUCCCUCUUUCCCAUGUGCCCAGAGAAACUCGAGGGGAGGUCCGGGGCUGGGCCCACAGCAGGCCUCAGUGACGCUCCAAGAGCCAGGGGAUCCCUGGGAGGCUCCUCAGGGCCCUCCGCUCGGUGCAGGGGGAAGACGGUCCAUUCAUGUCCACCCCAGGGCACCUGUAAGUAACAGGAAGAUGUGGAACUCAAGAUUCGUGCUCUUGUCAGAAUCACCGAACUGGAGGCACAUACUGCAACGAGCUACGCGGACAGAUUUGCAAGGCAUAUUGUUGGAUGAAAAAAGUAAGAAACAGGGGCUGGAGAGCACAACAAAACAUACUUACAGCGGAAGCCAUGCUUGCACACAAAACAAGAGCUCCGCCUGUUUCAACGCACAUCCAAGAGUGUAGAUGAAGUCCUCCAGUGAGUGCUUUGGGGGCACCGUGCUUUAGGUUCAACUUCCACGCCUUGUUAGGGGAUGGACUGUGUCCCGCCCACGAAUCCCCUGUUGAAGCUGUAAUACCCAGGACUGUGGCUGCCUGGAGAUGGGGUCUUUGGAGAGGUGAAGUCACUUUGGGUGGCCCUAAUUGGGUAUGGCUGGUGUCCUCCCAGCAGAGGAUGUUAGCACACAGGCACUGGCUGGGGCCACAAGCAGACACCAAGCAGGCAGCAGCUGCAGGCAAGAGAGAGGCCUUGAAAGAAGCCAACCCUGUGGACGCCUUGAGCUUGGACUUCCACCCUCUAGGACUGUGGAAAAUAACGUCCUCUUGUCUCGGCCUGGGUCUCAGGGCUUUGUUAUGGCAGGCAGCUGUGGUAGUUAGUGCAUCCUCCGGCAAUCUCACACUCCCUGGUCUACCCACGCUGGCCUUUUGGCGUGGCUGAAAUAUCUGUCCUUCCCCUGGGAACCUGCCUGUUUUCCAAUGGCAGGUCUCAACGUGGUGGCAGCCUCUUUCUGGAGCAGGUGUCCUGUCCUGUGGCACAUGUCGCUGACCAGUUGCUGCCCUGUGUCCCUACUUGGGUCCUGCUGUCCCUGCUCUAUGCUGCUCUGUACUCCAGCAUGUCCCCCAGGAAGGCUGAGCAUGACAGGGACUUGCAAGGAUGGGAGUUCCCAAAACAAGAGCAAGAGGGAGGGGCACAAGGGGCCUCAGAGUGGCCUUGUGCCCACCAUCUUGGGAACCCAUGCCCUUCCGUUGGGGAGCCCGGGGUGGCGCAUGGUCCCUCACAGCCUCUGGGCAACUCUGGGUCCAGGUCUGGCUCGCGCACCCGGCCUCGGCGUCAUGGGGACGGAGGGACGCUGCAGAGCCAAGCUCAUAAAGCCAGCUGCCAGCCUGUUCAUGCUCCAUCACGAGGCCCAGACACUUGUGUGGGCAGGACCCCUGCGCUCGAGGAGGCUGGAUGUCCGUGGGAAGGGGCAGCCAGACCUCCUGGCCUCGUGGGCUGUGCAAGUGAUGGGAGUGGGGAGCCUGGGUCUGUGGUCAUCAGCCCCAGGGGUUGUGAGGCAGCAAGAGGCCCCGUCCUGCCUACUUCCAGGCUCCCCAGAUCCUGGCUGUUUCUUCAGAGUGACCCUGGGAUCUCCACACCGCCUGAGGGGAGGCAGGAAAGGGCAGCCCUGGGGCUGAGGAAGGCGGGGGCCAGGAGGACCGGAUGGUCCCCACAGCGAGUCCACCGAAGAUGCUCAUUGGCAGGAGGAGGCUGUUCCCGAGGAAGACUGUUUGGGUGAUGUGUGAACUUACAUAACAGCAAGAGGAGGCCAUUUGUACACACCAAGCUGGCCCCUCCUUCCACCCGCACACCGGCCCUCUCCCCAGGGAAUGGACUUCUCCACCCUCGCCUCUCCGUUCUCACCGAAGCACCAGUAUUAGUGGAUGUGAAUGGCUUUCGCGCCGACGCAGCCCACCAGACAAGAUGGGCAGCAGGAGCACACCCCCCAUCACCCUUCUUCAAGACGCCCCAUAAAAUACCAGCUGCAAUCGGAGCACCUCUUUCUCUUGAGAGUCCACACGUAUUUCUUUGUUUACUUUAGAUUCUGCCUAAUAAAUCCCUUUAUGUCUCUUCCUGAU
ensembl:lncRNA